rnacentral:rRNA from 1 species
AGUGAACGCUGGCGGUAGGCCUAACACAUGCAAGUCGAACGGCAGCACAGUAAGAGCUUGCUCUUACGGGUGGCGAGUGGCGGACGGGUGAGGAAUACAUCGGAAUCUACUUUUUCGUGGGGGAUAACGUAGGGAAACUUACGCUAAUACCGCAUACGACCUACGGGUGAAAGCAGGGGAUCUUCGGACCUUGCGCGAUUGAAUGAGCCGAUGUCGGAUUAGCUAGUUGGCGGGGUAAAGGCCCACCAAGGCGACGAUCCGUAGCUGGUCUGAGAGGAUGAUCAGCCAAAAUGGAAAUGAGACACGGUCCAGACUCCUACGGGAGGCAGCAGUGGGGAAUAUUGGACAAUGGGCGCAAGCCUGAUCCAGCCAUACCGCGUGGGUGAAGAAGGCCUUCGGGUUGUAAAGCCCUUUUGUUGGGAAAGAAAAGCAGCAGGUUAAUACCCCGCUGUUCUGACGGUACCCAAAGAAUAAGCACCGGCUAACUUCGUG